rnacentral:sRNA from 1 species
UUAGCCUCUAGGACUUGUGCAAGCCAACCCUCAUCCAUGUCUGAUAGCAUUCACAUCCGUGCCCAAUAGAGGGACCUGCCCCAGCCUCUGUGUCCCCUCCACACAGUGGGGCCUCUUCACUGGCAGUGGAACUGCAUGCCUGCCAUACUGCUAACAUCAUCCAGUUAGGGGCCUUGGACUGUGAAUGCACCAUACAGAUCCCUGGCUGUGAUCAAACAAAUCACAUUCCCUCACAUGUGUUUCACCCCAUAAGGCAGAAACUACCACCCAUCCAACCCUCUGACCUUACCCCAUGAAACUUCCCUUUGACCUUCGACCUUUCCUCCUACCCCCUCUCACCUUGCCAAUGAUAGAGAUUAUAUCCCAAAGCCCUCUAACCAUCUAAUCCUGCCUGGUGUAGUCACUGACUCCUGGCCCCUUUGAUCCCUGUUCUAAUUCCUUGAAUCUGUAAUACUGACCUUCUAACCUCCCUCUCCCCUUACAUAUUAAAACCGUGAUUCCUUAAAGCUUUGACACUUACCACCUCCCAUGCCUCCUGACUAUUUCCUCCCCAUCAUCCCCAACCCCAAACCUUGCUCUUCCAGUAUGAGAUGUUCUGACAACUCCCCGCCCCCAUGUCUUCCAAUGUCCCCCCAUCUUCCUUUCCUCCAUGCUCCCUUUUUCUUUCUUCUUUCUCUCCAUCUGUCUUCUGUGGUAAUCUGGUCUCUCUGUCUCUUUUCCUGACACUUUUUCUUUUCCCCUGAGUUGCUUCUGUUUUCCAUCUACUUCUUUUACUUUCUUGAUCUCUGGUUCUUUGACAUCUGUGUUCUCCUCUCUUGCUCUUUUUCUGCCUGUAUCUGUCCAUCUGAUGCUUCUCUUUUCCUGGCUCCAUCUCUGUAUUUCCCUGUCUUUCUCUUGCCCUUCUUUCUCUGUGGCCCGGGCCCCAGUUCUGAACCAGCUGGAGGAGUUGCUGAGCGACAUGAAGGCGGACGUGACCCGCCUGCCAGCCACGCUGUCCCGAAUACCCCCCAUCGCAGCCCGCCUUCAGAUGUCCGAGCGCAGCAUCCUCAGCCGGCUGGCCAGCAAGGGCACGGAGCCUCACCCCACACCGGCCUUCCCCCCGGGUCCCUACGCUACACCUCCGGGGUACGGGGCGGCCUUCAGCGCCGCACCCGUAGGGGCCCUGGCCGCCGCAGGCGCCAAUUACAGCCAGAUGCCUGCAGGGUCCUUCAUCACAGCCGCCACCAACGGCCCUCCAGUGCUUGUGAAGAAGGAGAAGGAAAUGGUGGGGGCGUUGGUGUCAGACGGGCUGGAUCGGAAGGAGCCCCGAGCCGGGGAGGUGAUCUGUAUAGACGACUGACUGGAUCCCAGGCCUGCCCUUCACCCAGGCCCCGUCCCCGAGGCCGACCCCCAGCUCAAGCGCUGGGGCCUGCUGCCAGCCCUCCACCUUCCCCACCCCUUGGGCCAUCACUGGGCUAGGAACCCCUUUGCCCCUCUCUGCAGCUCCUCUCUUCAAGAAGGGCCCUUUGUCUUUCUCCACUCCCACACACCUUUCCCACCAAGCCUUGAAGACUGUGCUGGUGAGAAGAAGUCUGGGUGGGAGAUGGCUGGCAGGGUCUUCCAAGUACCUUCCUCCCACACUGCCAAGUAUACACAACUUCCCAGUAAAUGGUUGUGGGGAGGAAAGAGGUGGAGCCUCCCCAGCCGUUUCCCUGCAGAAUCAGCUCUAUCUCAUGUGGAAGUGGAGAAUCAGCCUUGCCUGGCCUUUAGGAACUUUUGUGGGGAAGAGAGCUUUGAAGAGAGGAGGGGGACUUUAGAGAGGGAUGAAAAUGAGCCCUGGGAGGGAGGAAGGGACGAGGAGGGGUGGCUGCAUGUUACCGUCCCCUACCUCUCCCCACGUGGAGGGUGGAGCAGUUAUGAGGGAGGAAGUCAAUUGCUGUUCAGCCUCAGAAUAAAGGUGCCGUUCACUGGCUCAGUUACCUCCUGUGUACCGGCAUCUUGUGUUGGGAAUGUUCCCCCCUCCCUAGGGACCAAGGACCACCCCUACAAAAAGAGUAAUGGUUGGGUGAUACUCCCUCAAGCCAAAGAGGAGCUCCCCAACCUGUUCUAGGGACCCAGGUAACCUAGAAGGGUGGGAGAGAAUACAAUGGGCCAGAUGUGGUGGAAGCCCAGCUCUGGGGCUCAGGUUCCUGGAAGACUUCUACUACCCUCCCUCCUCAAGGCCUGGAUACAGACUAAAUUUGUAUAAGUCAGGCAGGGGACCUAGUCAGGGUCUUGGGAGCUACCUUGUCGUUGGGACCAGAGCAAAAUAGUGGAGGGCAGGCUAGGGAAAUGUGGGCACAUCCCCCCUCCCAGGAGGGGCCGGGGAGAGUGGCAGUUUGCAUGGCGAACCCCCCACUUCCUCUUUGCUGCCCCUUCACUUUCUUGCUGCCCCUUUCCCAGUCUCUCUUCACACCCACUCCUGGUCUGUCCUGAUCCCCUCUUCUGUAUCAGGUUUAUUGGUUGUACAUAUAAAUUAUACUUUCCUUUCUGUGU